CAUGAGAUCUCUGCCACCCAC
rnacentral:misc_RNA from 1 species